rnacentral:rRNA from 1 species
UACAGAGGGUGCAAGCGUUAAUCGGAAUUACUGGGCGUAAAGCGCGCGUAGGUGGUUCGUUAAGUUGGAUGUGAAAUCCCCGGGCUCAACCUGGGGACUGCAUUCAAAACUGUCGAGCUAGAGUAUGGUAGAGGGUGGUGGAAUUUCCUGUGUAGCGGUGAAAUGCGUAGAUAUAGGAAGGAACACCAGUGGCGAAGGCGACCACCUGGACUGAUACUGACACUGAGGAGCGAAAGCGUGGGUAGCAAACAGG